rnacentral:sRNA from 1 species
UGACAAUCCGAUUCUGGUACUGCAUGGAACACAGCAAGCCUGUGGUGUUAUCAUUGGAGACCUUGAGAUGCCAGGUGGAGAACCUUCAGUCUCUGCAAGAUGAAGCUGAGAGCAGUGAAGGGAGUUGGGAGAAACUCCAGGAGGUUAUUGGCAAACUCAAAGGUCUCUGCCCCUCUGUUGCUGAAAUAAUCGAAGAGAAAUGCCAAAAUACUCAUAAAAGGUGGACUCAGGUGAACCAAGCCAUUGCAGACCAGUUGCAGAAGGCCCAGAGUCUGCUCCAGCUCUGGAAGGCCUAUAGCAAUGCUCAUAGUGAAGCUGCCGCAAGGCUGAAGCAGCAGGAAGCAAAGUUUCAGCAGCUCGCAAACAUCAGCAUGUCUGGAAACAACCUGGCAGAGAUCCUGCCCCCAGCCCUGCAGGACAUAAAGGUGGGUACAAAGCCCAUUUGGAAAACCAAGGCCAAGUCAGCCCAACAGAUGGGGUAAGGGACAGCCAUGACCUGGGGACCAGACAGACCACAGGGACAGAGUAGUCAGGACAGGUGCUGUGAACUUGGCAUGUAGGACAUAGGCAAGGCUGGGAGGACCAGGUGGUGGCUCAGAGGUGACGUCUAGGCAGCAAAUAGCUGGAUCAGGGGGACUCAAUAUCACCUCGUUCCAAGUCUGUGCUUUCUCUCUAGUGUUACAUCUCUAAGGCAAAAGCUUCAUAUGAAAUCUGAAGUAAAAGCAAGUGUCUCAACUGAGUGUGACCCUGUAAGAAUAAUACAUGUUGUAUCUCUUGUUUUAGCAAUAAUCAUGGACUUGGUGCCAUGUUGCUAGGCCUUUUCUGUGGGUAUAGUAAAUUUCAGACUACAUUAAAGACUUGCAUAGUUUCCCCUAUGGUGUUUUUUCUAUUAUUGUUAAUGAACGCUCAGAAAGUGAAUACUCUUUAGUUCUGAACUGAGUGAACAGAUGCAUUUUGUAUCUUCUGCUACUGUAGGUCAAAUCAAAACGUGGCAACCA